CUGCAGACUCCCUGAUUUUGAGUCUCUCUUCAGGGUGCUACAGGCAAAGCUGGAGACCCAGGGAGAGAUGUAAGUGAAGGGAGAUGUUAGGGUGGA
rnacentral:pre_miRNA from 12 species